rnacentral:rRNA from 1 species
UAACGUCCGUCGUGAAGAGGGAAACAACCCAGACCGCCAGCUAAGGUCCCAAAGUCAUGGUUAAGUGGGAAACGAUGUGGGAAGGCCCAGACAGCCAGGAUGUUGGCUUAGAAGCAGCCAUCAUUUAAAGAAAGCGUAAUAGCUCACUGGUCGAGUCGGCCUGCGCGGAAGAUGUAACGGGGCUAAACCAUGCACCGAAGCUGCGGCAGCGACACUAUGUGUUGUUGGGUAGGGGAGCGUUCUGUAAGCCUGUGAAGGUGGCCUGUGAGGGUUGCUGGAGGUAUCAGAAGUGCGAAUGCUGACAUAAGUAACGAUAAAGCGGGUGAAAAGCCCGCUCGCCGGAAGACCAAGGGUUCCUGUCCAACGUUAAUCGGGGCAGGGUGAGUCGACCCCUAAGGCGAGGCCGAAAGGCGUAGUCGAUGGGAAACAGGUUAAUAUUCCUGUACUUGGUGUUACUGCGAAGGGGGGACGGAGAAGGCUAUGUUGGCCGGGCGACGGUUGUCCCGGUUUAAGCGUGUAGGCUGGUUUUCCAGGCAAAUCCGGAAAACCAAGGCUGAGGCGUGAUGACGAGGCACUACGGUGCUGAAGCGACAAAUGCCCUGCUUCCAGGAAAAGCCUCUAAGCAUCAGGUAACAUCAAAUCGUACCCCAAACCGACACAGGUGGUCAGGUAGAGAAUACCAAGGCGCUUGAGAGAACUCGGGUGAAGGAACUAGGCAAAAUGGUGCCGUAACUUCGGGAGAAGGCACGCUGAUAUGUAGGUGAAGCGACUUGCUCGUGGAGCUGAAAUCAGUCGAAGAUACCAGCUGGCUGCAACUGUUUAUUAAAAACACAGCACUGUGCAAACACGAAAGUGGACGUAUACGGUGUGACGCCUGCCCGGUGCCGGAAGGUUAAUUGAUGGGGUUAGCGGUAACGCGAAGCUCUUGAUCGAAGCCCCGGUAAACGGCGGCCGUAACUAUAACGGUCCUAAGGUAGCGAAAUUCCUUGUCGGGUAAGUUCCGACCUGCACGAAUGGCGUAAUGAUGGCCAGGCUGUCUCCACCCGAGACUCAGUGAAAUUGAACUCGCUGUGAAGAUGCAGUGUACCCGCGGCAAGACGGAAAGACCCCGUGAACCUUUACUAUAGCUUGACACUGAACAUUGAGCCUUGAUGUGUAGGAUAGGUGGGAGGCUUUGAAGUGUGGACGCCAGUCUGCAUGGAGCCGACCUUGAAAUACCACCCUUUAAUGUUUGAUGUUCUAACGUUAGCCCGUAAUCCGGGUUGCGGACAGUGUCUGGUGGGUAGUUUGACUGGGGCGGUCUCCUCCUAAAGAGUAACGGAGGAGCACGAAGGUUGGCUAAUCCUGGUCGGACAUCAGGAGGUUAGUGCAAUGGCAUAAGCCAGCUUGACUGCGAGCGUGACGGCGCGAGCAGGUGCGAAAGCAGGUCAUAGUGAUCCGGUGGUUCUGAAUGGAAGGGCCAUCGCUCAACGGAUAAAAGGUACUCCGGGGAUAACAGGCUGAUACCGCCCAAGAGUUCAUAUCGACGGCGGUGUUUGGCACCUCGAUGUCGGCUCAUCACAUCCUGGGGCUGAAGUAGGUCCCAAGGGUAUGGCUGUUCGCCAUUUAAAGUGGUACGCGAGCUGGGUUUAGAACGUCGUGAGACAGUUCGGUCCCUAUCUGCCGUGGGCGCUGGAGAACUGAGGGGGGCUGCUCCUAGUACGAGAGGACCGGAGUGGACGCAUCACUGGUGUUCGGGUUGUCAUGCCAAUGGCACUGCCCGGUAGCUAAAUGCGGAAGAGAUAAGUGCUGAAAGCAUCUAAGCACGAAACUUGCCCCGAGAUGAGUUCUCCCUGAGACUUAGAGUCUCCUGAAGGAACGUUGAAGACGACGACGUUGAUAGGCCGGGUGUGUAAGCGCAGCGAUGCGUUGAGCUAACCGGUACUAAUGAACCGUGAGGCUUAACCUU